rnacentral:rRNA from 1 species
AUUCCUAGUGAUUAGAGUUUGAUCAUGGCUCAGGAUGAACGCUAGCGGCAGGCUUAAUACAUGCAAGUCGAGGGGCAGCACGGGUAGCAAUAUCUGGUGGCGACCGGCGCACGGGUGCGUAACACGUAUACAAUCUACCCUUAACAGGGGGAUAGCCCUCCGAAAGGAGGAUUAAUACCCCAUAAUAAAUUGAAUGGCAUCAUUUGAUUUUGAAAGUUCCGACGGUUAAGGAUGAGUAUGCGUCUGAUUAGCUAGUUGGUGAGGUAAAGGCUCACCAAGGCAACGAUCAGUAGGGGAUCUGAGAGGACUACCCCCCACACUGGUACUGAGACACGGACCAGACUCCUACGGGAGGCAGCAGUAAGGAAUAUUGGUCAAUGGAGGCAACUCUGAACCAGCCAUGCCGCGUGCAGGAAGACGGCCCUAUGGGUUGUAAACUGCUUUUGUACGGGAGAAAACCCUUUCACGUGUGAGAGGUUGAUAGUACCGUAAGAAUAAGCAUCGGCUAACUUCGUGCCAGCAGCCGCGGUAAGACGAAGGAUGCAAGCGUUAUCCGGAUUCAUUGGGUUUAAAGGGAGCGUAGGUGGACUUGUAAGUCAGUGGUGAAAUCUCUCAGCUUAACUGAGAAACUGCCAUUGAUACUGCAGGUCUUGAGUACAGAUGAUGUGGGCGGAAUAUGACAUGUAGUGGUGAAAUACUUAGAUAUGUCAUAGAACACCGAUUGCGAAGGCAGCUCACAAAACUGUAACUGACACUGAGGCUCGAAAGUGCGGGGAUCAAACAGGAUUAGAUACCCUGGCAGUCCGCACCGUAAACGAUGAUUACUCGUUGUUAGCGAUAUGACAGUUAGCGACCAAGCGAAAGCGAUAAGUAAUCCACCUGGGGAGUACGCCGGCAACGGUGAAACUCAAAGGAAUUGACGGGGGCCCGCACAAGCGGAGGAGCAUGUGGUUUAAUUCGAUGAUACGCGAGGAACCUUACCUGGGCUUGAAAGUUAGUGACCGUCUCUGAAAGGAGAUUUUCCGCAAGGACACGAAACUAGGUGCUGCAUGGCUGUCGUCAGCUCGUGCCGUGGGGUGUUGGGUUAAGUCCCGCAACGAGCGCAACCCCUACCAUUAGUUACCAGCGAGUAAUGUCGGGAACUCUAAUGGAACUGCCCGUGCAAACGGUGAGGAAGGUGGGGAUGACGUCAAGUCAUCACGGCCCUUACGUCCAGGGCUACACACGUGCUACAAUGGCCGGUACAACGGGCAGCUACACAGCGAUGUGAUGCUAAUCUCUAAAAACCGGUCUCAGUUCGGAUUGAAGUCUGCAACUCGACUUCAUGAAGCUGGAUUCGCUAGUAAUCGCGCAUCAGCAAUGGCGCGGUGAAUACGUUCCCGGGCCUUGUAGACACCGC